GACCAAGGUGGCAGGUGCCGCUGGGUCGCAGGGACGCAAGGACGGCGGCGAGCCAGUUGGAGGCCGGCGCCAACCUUCCCCCUGCCGGCAUGGAAGUCCCAGGCCUCAUCGGUAUAUUCGCGUCCAAGGGACUCGACGCCAAGGACAUGGUCGCGCUCUCCGGCGCCCACACCAUCGGCGAAACGCGGUGCGGCGUCUACCGCUCACGCAUCUACAACGACAACAACGUCGACCCCAACUUCGCUGCCAUCCGCAAGAACAACUGCCCGCCUUUCGGCGACGACAACAAGUGGACGCCGCUCGACCUGCAGACGCCGACGCGCUUCGACAACAAGUACUACAGGAACCUCCUGGGUGGGCGCGGGAUUCUGCACUCGGACCAGGCGCUCUACAGUGGCGGACCGGCUGAUAGUCUGGUGAAGUUAUACAGCGCCAACAAUUCCGCCUUCUUCGCCGACUUUGCGCUGGCAAUGACGAAGAUGGGGAACAUUAGCC
rnacentral:lncRNA from 1 species